GAUGAACGCUGGCGGCGUGCCUAAUACAUGCAAGUCGAGCGAACGGACGAGAAGCUUGCUUCUCUGAUGUUAGCGGCGGACGGGUGAGUAACACGUGGAUAACCUACCUAUAAGACUGGGAUAACUUCGGGAAACCGGAGCUAAUACCGGAUAAUAUUUUGAACCGCAUGGUUCAAAAGUGAAAGACGGUCUUGCUGUCACUUAUAGAUGGAUCCGCGCUGCAUUAGCUAGUUGGUAAGGUAACGGCUUACCAAGGCAACGAUGCAUAGCCGACCUGAGAGGGUGAUCGGCCACACUGGAACUGAGACACGGUCCAGACUCCUACGGGAGGCAGCAGUAGGGAAUCUUCCGCAAUGGGCGAAAGCCUGACGGGGCAACGCCGCGUGAGUGAUGAAGGUCUUCGGAUCGUAAAACUCUGUUAUUAGGGAAGAACAUAUGUGUAAGUAACUGUGCACAUCUUGACGGUACCUAAGCAGAAAGCCACGGCUAACUACGU
rnacentral:rRNA from 1 species